UUUUUUAAAUUUUGAGGCAGGGUCUUGCUGUGUUCCUGAGGGUCUUGCGAAAUUGCUGAGGCUGGCCUCAAACUGGUGAUCCUCAUGCCUCAGCCUUUCAUAUUGCAGGGGUUACAGGUGUGCACCACCAUACCUGGCUCAGAAUUUGUUUUCAUGGAUGUUAUAACAUUUUCAGGAGCAGAGGCCUUUUCUUGUAACUUUUUCUGAAUGUGACUGCUUUAGGUUUUGUUUUUGCUUAUUUUUGCAGUGCUGGGGAAUCAAACCCAGCACCUCAUUCAUGCUAGGCAAGUGCUAUGCCAAUAAGCUACACCCAGCCCUGAAUUUUACUGCUUUUAAAAAAUGAUUAAGUAGCAUAUCUUUCUUACUUGUACUUUUAGAUAUUUCUCAUAAUUCAGUCUUCAUGUCAGGAUUUUUUUCAUUAGGAUUUACAUCAGUGCUAGUAAGUCAGAUAUUAUCCUAAAUUAGAAUAGCUAAAGAAAAAGGAGAAGGCCCAAAUCUUUAUUUUGAUUUUACCACAAGUGAGCAUACAGACUUGUUCUUUUUUUUUAUGGGGGUGGGGGAGGCGUAUGUUGUACUUGGAAUCAAGCACAGGGGAGCUCUAUUGCUGAGUUACUUCACAGCCCUUUUUAUUUUUUAUUUUGAGACAGGGUCUUGCUCCAUUCUAAGGUUGGCCUCAAACUUGUGCUCCUCCUGCUUCAGCCUCCUGAAUUGCUGGGAUUAUAGGCAUGUACCAUUGCACCCAGCGAUGACUUGAUCUUAUAAGUAACUUGGUUUGUAUUCUCUAAAAUGGGAUUUUGGGGGGAUUAGGAAAACAAAGGAAAUAUAUGUGAAGUGCAAUAUUAUAAAUAUUAAACCUUAGAUGAAUAAGGUUUUAAAGUGUGAUUAUAUUUCACUUUGACAUAUAUACUGUGUUUUCUUUCUUUCUUUCUUUUUGUUUUGGUACCAGGUUUUGAACCCAGGGUGCUUAAUUACUGAGUCACAUGCCCAACUGUUGUUUUGUUUUGUUUCUUUUUUAAUUUUGAGGCAGGGUCUCUCAAAAUUGCUUAGAGCCUUACUAAAUUGCUGAGGCUGGCUUUCUUAACUUGUGAUCCUCCUGCCUCAGCCUCCCAAGCUGCUAGGAUUACAGGCGCCUAGCUACUGUGUUUUCAUUGUAAGUUGCUGGUUAAAACAGUGACUUUUUUUUUUUCUCGGAUUUGGUUGUUACUUCUAACCACACAUUUGUAAAUUCUUAAGUAUGUUAAAGUAUUAUUUCACUGUGGCUGCCAGUAAGUCAAAAUAAUAUUUCCUCUUUUAAACUUCUGUGAGAUGCUUUUCCUGUCCUGUUAUCUGGCAGAAGUAGAGAUGGAUUAAGUUGAAUGUUGGUGCUGGGAGAAUUUUUUUUGUUGGCUUGAUAUUUUCUAGAAGCAGCUUAUUUUUCUUCUUUUCUAUAGAAAUGAAAAUAAAACUCUGAAAACUCCUAGUUCAGAUUCACUCUUAAGCUUUGUAAUGUCAAACUUAAUGCAGAGCUUCACAGAAUAUUUCAAGAGCCCUCUGACCCUCUAUAAAUGGGUGUCUUUUUUAGCAUGCAAUAAACAAUCCAAUCUAUCAAACCUGGUUUAAAUAUGUUAUAGGGUCAUAGGAAGUUGGAACUAAAGGGAUAUUGGAGACCUGCUGGCCUAUCUUGUCCCAGUAGUAUACCCUUUGUCCCAUGCAGAUCAUAGCAGCCAGGGAGGUGGCUCCUAUUGGGUUGUGAUUGAGGCAUGGUCACAUGAGUGUUGGAUUAGGCCUCAGAAACCUGAUUUCCAGACUUUUUUUCAGUCCUUUUUGGAUAUAUACUUCCUUUUAAAAAUAACAUCAGAAAGGAUGAAGGAUUUCUUUUAAAAAUAUUUCCUGUGAGGCUUUAGAGCCACCCCCCACUUUAGUUCUAAUUAAAAAAUAUGUGGUUUUUUUUUUCUUCUUCUUCUUCUUCUUUUUUUUAAAAAAUCUUUGCAGUGGUGGGGAUGGAAUCCAGGGCUUCAUGCAUGCUAGGCAAGCACUCUACCAUUGAGCUAGGUCCCAGGCCUCAAAUAUCGUUUGUAGAAACCUUAGAUGUCAGCAACGACAGCUCAGAGACCAGUGCAGUGUGUAGGGAACUCAGAUUUUCAAAAGAAUUUCACCCUUUUCUCAAUGCACCUGUGCUUACCACCCCACCCCACCCCACCCACCCUUUGCAGAGCCAGGUGUUGACCCAGGGCCUCAUGCCUGUUAAGCAAAUGUUUUACCAAUGAGCCACAUCCUUAGCCCCUCGAUAGGAUUUUAAAUUGCAAAAUUUCAGUUGUGUACCCAUUCACAUAUGUAAAAAUAAGUGUAGGCAUUUCACAGUUACUGCAUUAUUUAGAAGAGCCAGGCUGAGAAAUAUCCUAGCUGAGUAGGAAGUAACAUGGGUAGAAGCUCUAAUGGAAUGUUCUGGAAAAGUUCCAGUUUGGUCCAGGAAGGUUGCAUACACUUCUCUGUUUGUUCAGCAUGCAUUCAUAUGGUGUUUUGCUUCCUGCCUUUCCAGAACCCAUCUGUACUCAUGGGAAGGGGCAUAUCAGUUCUGCCUCUGAAAAAAAAACCUGAUUUACUGCUCCAUUUGUCGUGGAACCUUCCCUAGACUUGUGAAAUGGCAUCUGCCAGCAUGAUUAUAGUGCCCCAUUCUGUGAUUAACUUGUGCCUAAACUUUUAGAUUUUCCACCUCUCCCAUGCGUUACUAAUAAGCACUUAGAUUUUGGCUAUUAAUGUGAGCUUAAUUGCCAGUUUGGGGAAUUGAAUUUGAUAAUCUGUAUUUAUGCAAUAAUUUCAACAAAUUUAAUUUUAAGUAGCUUUGGAGGAAAUUCUAUGAUUUAUAUUUAAAAAUAUUUAGAACACUUAACCAAGUAUAGUGAAAGCUUAAGUGACAUUCAGUGAGUAAAAGCCAGAGGGAAUUUUAUUUGGCUUUCAUCUCUCAGGAUUAAGUGACAUCAUAUCAUUUAUAUCUGAAGUAGUGCUAUGGUGUACUUAUUUAUGCAGCAUUGUAUUAAAAUUAAAACUAAAAUUUCUUAUAAUUGGUAUGGGGUACUCUCCCACCCCCACUAGAUUUCAGUUAUUUCUAUUAUUUUCAAAUUGAUUCUAUAAUUCUGCCAGUGACAGAGUAGAUGCCAUUUGUAAGGUGGAUUGUUAAAAAUGCUUGUUUGCUUUAAGAAGUGUAAAUGUCAGGUGUAUUCAUGUACAAUGACUUGUUGAACAUAUAUAUUGUUUUUUGAUCUGUAUCUUACGAACUCAAUAUUGUACCUCUGACAAAAUUUCACACUUGGAGACAGGGAUGUUGCUCAGCGGUAGAGUGCUUGCCUGUCAUGUGCAAAGCCCUGGCUUCAAUCCCCAAUUACCUAAACACAAACAAACAGACAAAUUCCAUGCUUUCCUACUCUAUAAUUACAGAUGACAGGAGAAUUUCACUUCCUUGGUGGAAAGUAGUAUUUGUGGUUACAGAUCCUGAGCUUUGAUAUAAGUAAAAUGUUUAUUCUCUGGUCAUUAAAAUAUACAUUUUUAUGAUUUUAUUUUUUAAAAAAUCAUAACUAUUCUUUCAUAUGAAAUACUUGGAAGUCAAAUUCAAAAUCAUAAAGCUAAUGUAAGACUUAAUUUUUAUAUCCAUGUGAAAACUGUUUAUUUUUGUUCCCAUGACAGAAAUGGAAAGUUUAAAUUUUUUUCUUUGAGAUAAGUUGCUUAUCCAUAUUUUUCAAUUCAGUAAUUUAUGUUGCUCUGAGGGCUUGUUUAAAAAUAAAUAAUACAGCCAGGUGUGGUGGCACAUGCCUGCAAUACCAGCUACUUGGGAGGCUGAGGCAGAAGGAUUGCAAGUUUGAGGCCAGCCUGUCUCAAAAAGUUUAAAAAAGGGCUGAGGAUGUAACUCAAUGGUAGAGUACCCUGGGUUCAAUCCCCAGUACGUACAUACAUAAAAUAAAUCACAUAAAUAUUCUAGUUUUAAAAUUAGAAUGGUAGGUUACAGUUGCUUUCUUUAUAAGACUUGGUUUACAGUCAUUUAAGGAAGGCCAGCUUUUAUCAGUUGACUAUAGAUUUAUAUUUUUUUAACUCAGAUUUUUUUCCAGUGAUCUAUAUGUGUUUUCUUACGCCAGCACUACACAGGUUUGUAGUAAGUUUGGAAAUCAACAAGUGUGAGUCCCUCUUCACCUUCAAUGCUGUUUGGCCUAUUCUUGUUUUCUUUGAUUUCCAUGUGAAUUUUAGAAUUGGCACAUCUUUUUCUCUUAAUAAAAAGUAGGUGAAAUUUUGAUAAUUGCAUCUGUUGACCAUUUAGGGGAGUUUUAUUGUCUUUACAACAUUAAGUCUAUCAGUCCAUGAAUAUGGGAUGUCUUUCCAUUUACUUUGCUCUUCCUUAAUUUUUGUUUUGUAGUUUUCAGUGGCAAAAAAAAAAAAAAAAGCAAAAAACGUUUCUUUGGUUCAAUUUAUUCCACUGCUGGAUUGAACCCAGCUCUGCCAUUGAGCUACAUCCCCAGCCCUUUUUGUUUUUUUGAGACAGGGUCUUACUAAGUUGCCCAGGCUGGCCUGGAACUUGGAAUUCUCAGCCUCCUGAGCUGCUGAGAUUGCAGGCAUGUGUUGCCACACCUGGCAAAUACAACUGAUAUUUUAAUAUAAAUCUGUAUUGUAAUCUUGCUGAACAUACUUAUUAGCCUUAAUAGUUGUACAAGGAUUCUUUAGGGUGUUGUAUAUGUAUAUAAGAUCAUGUCAUCUGCAAUGAAAUAGUUUUACUUUUUUCUUUGCAUUCUGGAUACCUCUUAUUUGUGUCUCUUAUUUAAUAGCUCCAGUUUGUACUUCCAAUAUAGUAUCAAAUAGAAGUGGUGAGAGUGGACAUCCUAGUUUUCUUCAUUUUCUUAGGGGGAAAGCUUUCUGUCCUUCAUCAUUAAGUGUAAUGUUAGCCUGGGUUUUCCCCUAGCUACCCUUUGUCAUGUUGAGGAAGUUUUCUUCUAUUUCUCUUUUGUGGAAUGUUUUUAUUCAUGACUGUGUGGUUUUUGUUUUUGGUACUGAGGAUUGAACUCAGGGGUGCUUUACCAGUGAGCUACAUCCCCAGCUUCCCCCCCCCCCACACACACACCUUUUUGAGUCUCACAAGUUGCUGAGGCUGGCCUUGAACUUGCAAUCCUCCUGCAUCAGCCUCUGGAAUCACUGGGAUUACAGAUGUGAGCCAUCACGCCUGGCUAACAAUUUUUUUUAAAUAUUUUUUUUUAGUUGUAGAUGGACACAAUAUCUUUAUUUUUAUUUGUUUAUUUUUAUGUGGUGCUGGGGAUUGAACCCAGGGCCUCAAGUGUGCGAGGCAACCACUCUACCACUGAGCUACAAACCCAGCCCUAACAAUGUGUUUUAAUGAACAGAUGGAAAGCUUUUGUUGUGGCUUUGAGUUGUUAUUCCUAUCUACGUCAGAAAAUACAUUUUGUUCAGCUGAAUUUCUAAAUCGCUUGAAGAUACUCAUCAAGCUGAAGCCAUAAAACUGCUUCUUGAUAGUUUUUGGACAGUUCGAUUCAUGUACAUUUAAUGGUUUCUAAGCCUAUUAAGCUGAUUGUCUUCAUUAACCUAAGUUAAUUUGAGUCUGUGUUCACUUGUCUAAAGAUACAGAGACACAGAGAUAUAAGAGACAUAAGAUGAUUUGUUUUUAUUGGUUGGUUUACUUUAAUGCUUCUUUAUCACCUGUACUUGGGCUUCUCCAACACGCAUUCCUUGAGUACUAGGAGCGUACCAGAGGGUGUGGAGCUAAGGUGCCUCUCUCUCUGGGAGGUAAGUGGUUAGAGCUGUUUCUGUGUUCUCCUCUGCCUAUCUUGGGGUGCCCUACAUAGAAAGGUUUGAGAAGCAGGGAGCUUGUCAGAGCUUCCUGGAUUGGGUUUCCUGGUAGUGUUGGAGUCUGCAUCUUUCCACAGUACCUACAUGAAAGUCACAUGUCACUGAAUUGCUACCGUGGAGAGGAAAGUCUCAAAAGCAGGACUUGGUAGUUCACCUGCAGCAUUGCCCUAGAAAACAAUUUUUUAAAAAAAAUCUUUUGUGUGCACUUAGCCGGAGCCUUGUCUAUCAAAUGUCACUGUUGUGCUGGGCUCUAGGGGAUACGUAGGGAUGACCAUCAGCAGGCUUUACCUGGCAAAUACCCUCUGAGAGAUGCUUGUAUGUGGAAAAAACCUUUCUGUGUUCAAGACCAGUUCUUUGGUUUAACCUAGGCUUUUUUUUUUCUUUUUUUAAAUUUUUAGUUGUAGUUGGACACAACACCUUUAUUUCACUCAUUUAUUUUUAUGUGGUGCUGAGGAUCGAACCCAGGGUCGAUUGCUCUACCACUGAGCCACAACCCUAGCCCUAACCUAGGCUUCUUUAUGCAAAAACUUAGCCCAGAUUUUUGAAAUGUAAUUCAUCAUCAUAAAUAUGAUCAUUUUGAAAUUUCUUUGGUAGAUUAUGACAAUAGAAUAAGAUCAGUGUUAUCCGUAAGUAACACAUCCCCACAUGGCUAGAAGAUCUCUUGCCCGUUUUCCAGUUUGGCUAACUUCUGAUGGAUACAGCCCUACUGGCAUUUUUGAGUAAUUUUGUGAGUAAUAUUGCUAAUGUAAUAUUUGACUGAAUACUUACAGUUCUUUAAUUUUGUACAAAUACCCCAAGGGUCUUUUGCUAAUGGCUACAUUUUAAAUAAAUCAUAUGAAUGCUAGGCAAAUGUUAAUGAUCUUCAAUGCAAAUGUUGGUAGCAAACCUAAAGAAGUUAUGAACCAAGAUUUGGAACUCACUACAUUUAUAAUGUUACAUGUUUGUUAAAAAUGUGGAGGGAAAAAAGAUUUUAAAGAGAGGUAUUUUUGCCAUAACUGUAAAAUAAAUGUUAGUUGGUACUUUUCAUAAAAAUUCUUAGGAAUAGCAGGAUCCCCACUUACUGGUAAUUGAAUGCUUGAAUAAUGGCUACAGUUCCUAAAUUUUAUAGAGCAAUGAAAGUGAUAGUUUUUUAAAUAAACGUAGUUAAUACCAUUUUAUGAUUAUUUUAUUUUUGCUUAAUACUUAUAAAUAUUAUGAAAAUAAAUAUCUGGUCUUAGUUGAUCAUCCUAAUAGAAUUUGCUUAGAUUACAAAAACAAUUAUUGCUAAUAGACCCUCAAAAAUGUGUCUUUUGGCCAGGCACGGUGUUACAGGCCUGUAAUUCCAGUGGCUCAGGAGACUGAAGCAGGAGGAUCUCGAGUUCAAAGCUAGCUUCAGCAAUUUAGUGAGAUGCUAAGCAACUCAGUGAGACCCUGUCUCUAAAUAAAAAUACAAAAAAGGGCAGGGGAUGUGGCUCAGUGAUCGAGUGCCCCUGAGUUCAAUCCCUAGUACACACACAUACACCAAAAAAUGUGUCUUUCCCGGGGGUAUAGCUUAGUGAUAGAGCACUUGCCAAGCAUGCAUGAGGCUCUGGGUGGAAUCCCCAGCACUUCAAACAAAACAAAGCAAAAACCCUUCUCCUUGUAUUAUAGUCUCUCCUUCCAGGGAGGCGCAGAGGUCACCACAGGUAAUGGGGUGUUUAUUGGAAGGAUACAGCAGCAGCUGCCUGCUUAAGUGUGGUGGUUCUGAUAUCGCCUCUCCUGCCUCCAGGAUUGGCAUCCAGAUUGGCAUCAUUCUGACUUGUGUAGGAUUCUGCUUCUCUUCCACUGUCUGGUCCACUCCACGUCCAUUGGUUCACUCUCUUCCCACUUUCCCUGUUUAGAUUCCAGAGUGGCAUAAGCUAACUAAGCCUGACCAUCUCCUGGGUGGGGAGAGAACUGGCAGGGCAGUUUCCCUUAGAAGGAGGUGUUGGAAGAGCUAUCAUGGUGCCAGUGACAUUGAGCAGAGCAGCACUCUGGCCCACUACGUGACAUUGUGCUGAUGGGACCCAAUGAGCCCGCAGUAGCAAGAACUUAGCCGUCCCAGUGAUUGGCCUGCCUGGUUUAUUCAAGAGUAGACAAUGGAUUUUACUCAAAACUCUAAUUGUUCUUGUUAUAUAAUUAUAACAAGAGUGAGUCAUUUUGUAGGCAGAAGCUAUGACUGAUUUGUGGCUUUCUCCAGAAGUGUGAGUGAAGUCACUGGCCUGUUUCACAAAGUACUAGAUAAGCAGAUUUCUAGAUCUCUUCAAUUAAGAGAACACUUAACUUGGCAUUUACACUUGGAGCUCCUUACACAACUCCCCAUCCCCAAACAUUAGAGCAUUUUUGCACUGGAGCAGCUCUGUGAGAUUGGUACCAGUGCUUUCUAUCUAUCUAUUCUUGUAAGACUCAGCCGGGGACCUUACAGCCAUAUGGUACCUGACAUCACUGUGGAAGUGAGAUUUGGGUUGCCAGUCUUUCUGGUUACUCAGUGUGUGACUGUUUGAAUGUUUAUUGUUUUUGUUGUUAUUUCUUCAGAUUGGUAAUUUAACUUUUUGAAUCCCAUUUUGUUUCUCUCUUUCUCUCUCUCUCUCUCUUUUUUUUUUUUUUUUUUUGUUGUGGUACUGGGGAUUGAACCCAGGGCCUUGUGAAUGCAAGGCAAGCACUCUACCAAUGAUCUAUAUCCCCAGCUUGUUUCUCUUAUUUUGAUCUAAUUUGGAAAUUUAAUAAGCAAUUCCUGCCAAACUUCCCCUUAGAACAACAUUUUUUCUACAGUGCUUGAUUAAAUUAUUAGACAAAAAUAAUUAGCUGGGUUUUUUUUUCCUCUUAAUGCCAUGGAGUUUGGUAGAGGAAAUGAGUGCAGUAAUUGUCAAACUUAAAAAAAUAACAAUCUACCAUGUUGUUGGUUUAUCUUCGUAUUUGGUCAUAAUGAAUACUGUCUGUUUUCAUUUUAAGGAAAACAGUUUGAACAUGAGUACAAUUAGUAUUCAGAUUUUUUUCACUGGAUAUACUGCAUCAAACUAUUCAAUAAUUCAAAGUACAUAGGCUCUAUAAUCCUUUGGACUAGAACAGAAAUCUGGAUCAUAUUUUUUUCCACCUAUGUAAUAUGAUCAUUUUUCAUUUGUAGGGUCCCAAACUAAUGAUUUACAUAUUAACAUACCAAAUGGCCUGCAAUUUAGAUUUGUAUCAUCCUUUGUUUUAGAAAGCCAUCUACUAUAAAUCUCCAAAGAUAAGCUGUUAGGCCAUUUCUAACUCAAAAACAAAGAAUAGAUCUACUUUUGUAAAAAAUCACGCAAUGUAGAUUUUAAAAACAAUUUCUGAAUACCAUGUCAUGGAUUAUAUUCUAUUUAAAUUAUUUAUGGAAAGGUAUAUGUAUUUUGCACUAAGAAGUAUCUUAUACAUCCAACCACUUUUAUAUCAAGAUAGUUCAGUUGUAUGUUGAAAAAUGAUAGGAAACAUUUUUAUUUUUUCUUUAAUUUUGAUUUUGUCGUAAGUUUACUUUUAAUCAAUAAGCUGAUCACCUUACCAUCCCUCAGAAGACCAAGGCCUCUCUUUAGUCUUGAAUAGCUUGAAUUUUGGUGCGCAUUUUUGUUACUUUCAGAAAUUAAGUCAAAAUAGCCUUAUAUUAAAGGUAGCCUUAUAUGGAGAGCCUUAUUACAAAGAUAUCAGAACAUUUAAUUUCUAGUAUUUUUUCUAGAAUUCAGAAUCUUGGGUAUUUUGGGGGCAUAUAAGAACUUUGAGAAGAGUUCUCUAUUUAGUUAUGGCUAAGGUAUGUUUUGUACACUGUGGAUGUCUUUAUGCUUUCUGACAUUUGUAUUUAUGUUGAGGAAAGUCAUACCUCACUUUCUUGUUUGGCUCAAUAAAGCUCAUCAACAGAUAAAUUGCUCUGUGUGUAUGUGUUAAAAUAUUCUUGCCUUAAAAUAGAGUACUCAUGCGGCCAAAUGGUCUUCUAGUGAUUCAUCUUUCUGUGUGCCUGGUCAACGCAGGCCUGAUAAAGUCCAUGGGAGUAAGAAAGAAGAAUGAAACAUCUUUUCAUUGUUAAUGAUCUGAACCUGGAUUAAAAGUAUUUUGGGCAUGUAAAGAUUUUAUGGAAAAAGUAAUAUACGUGUGUUUGGCUUUUACUAGUUAAGAUGGCAAGUGGUUGAACAGAUAAAAUAUGUUUUGGUUUUAACCAUCAUUUUUAUUGACUCUGUUCUAAAAGGAAGUAGUUAUUGAAAGCGUGCAUGUGGUCAGGUUUACUACUUCCACUGUGCACACAUCAUUAUUGCUACCAUUACCCGUCAUCACUGGUGGCCACUGCACCUGUCAUGAGAGUUCAGAUGUGCUGCAUCAACCGAUGGAGAUGGUAAUGUGGAUAAGUAAAGACUGUAUGAUAGUUUGGGAUUUAAAGUCAUAUUAUAUUGUCUGAUAGCUCUUGUAAGAAUGAUGGUUUAUGGACGUAGCUUUUAUCUUCUAAUAAAGAUUCUUAAAAUCAGCUCAAUUUAUGUGAUGUAAUUUUGUUUCCUACUUUGAUACAGGAUUAGUAAAGUGUGCAGUCAUUUGGGUCGUUGCUUUUCUUACCUCGCUGUGUUACGUAUUUUUAUGUCGGAUCUUCUAUAGUACCUAUAAAUGUACAUCGAAUAUUUAAUUCAUGGUUGAAACUUUUUGGCAUCUUUAGUCCUUGAGGAAGUACUAUUUUAUAUAUAAAAAAUCGACUUUGUUAUGAUAUAAAUACGUUGUAUGCAAACCUGAAAAGAAAUGUGUACAGCUUGAACAUUUGAAGAGUUAAUAAAUCUUACCUUUUGAGAACGACCCUGGAACUGGUACUAAAUACUGUUCUGUUGAGUUGACUCCAUUAAUUGGUGUAUUUUGUUCUUUUUUUCUUCUUCUUUUUUAAUUUGUUCUUACAUAACAGUAGAAUGUAUUUUGAUGUAUUAUACGUAUAUGGAGUAUAACUUCUCAUUCCUCUGGUUGUACAUGAUGUGGAAUGACAUUGGUUGUGUAAUCAUAUAUGCAUAAAAGAAAGUAAUGUCCACUUCAUGUAGUUUAUUCUUGAUGGACUUAUUUCCCUUCUGUUCUGAACCAAAACUUCACUUUGCAAUAAACUACUGGCAGAUGAAGCACAAAAGACGUCUCCUGGCUGUGACGGUGCCUCUGUGGAUUGUGUGGCUGUGAAUCCAUCAAUUGAUCCUCCUCUGGCCUACAUUCAUAUUUUCCUCCUUUGUAACUACUCCUCUUCUCUGUGGUAAGAACAUAAUUAAUCUACGUGAGGAAACAAUAGCAAAUGUCAGACUGAACAUUAUAUGAUUGGAUUAUUUUCCAUCAAUUUUAAAAAAGCACAAGACUGUGUUUAUGGUUGAAAUUUUGGAUGCCUGAGAAGAUCAUUAAUGUUUUGAUAAAAACAGGUGGCAAGAAUCUUCAGAGGUCACGCCCGUCUUUCACUGAUGUCUCAAGUUGACAAGGGUGAAGGAGCUGCCUUUAUCUGUAAUGUUGUCAUUCUUGUGUCAGAGGAAAAAGAGAAGACAAUGAAAACAUGAGACUCAAACUUCUGCUUCAUAGUGUCACUGAAACUGAAACUGAACCCUGAAUCUUUUGUCUGCAUCAUACAAAGCUGGAAGCAGAGGCACAAAGAGGUGAAGUGAGUUGUCCAAAAUUUCCAGCGAGCAGGUGACAUUGUUAUGCCAGAUUUAUGGGACCCCAAUAGACCUCCAGGAGCCAAAUCCGAUGCAAUCACACAAGAGUCUUUAUUGCAAGCUCGAGCCUGGACUCACAACCUUUCCCCAUGCAGCGGUCCCAGGGAGUAUUUGUCACAGUGACAGAAAGCUGACUAAUGCAGAUACUGAAAAAUGUGAGCACCGCACGGUCUUGCAUUCAUGGGACCCGGCACUGGAUACCAUCCCGCUCAGCCUCCAACAGCAAGCUGGAUGCCACAAACAGGAGGACAUUUCAGUUUUCGGCGGACACAACAUCUUUGUCUGUAUGUGGUGCUGAGGAUCGAACCCGCGCCACACGCACGCCAGGCGAGCGUGCUACCGCUUGAGCCACAUCCCCAGCCCCAAGAUUCUUAUAUAUAGUUGAGAACUAUGGAAAAGCAAAAGGAUCCAAAGGUAAACAUCAGCAACUUAUUUUAAACUUUGUAAAUUCAUGAACUGUUGAUUGUUAGACCACUAAAGAUCGAUGAUGAUGAUGAUGAUGAUGAUGA